UCAUCGAAAGAUUUCUCGCAGGAUGAACUACAAUACCUGACCUUGACGGGUCUCGGAACCUCAGCAAGGCUGAGCCUGGGCAGUACUGGGGUGGGAGACCUCCAAGGAAAACCAGGUUACAGCUGUA
rnacentral:rRNA from 1 species